GUGACCUCAAAUCAGGUAGGACUACCCGCUGAACUUAAGCAUAUCAAUAAGCGGAGGAAAAGAAACUAACAAGGAUUCCCCUAGUAACUGCGAGUGAAGCGGGAAAAGCUCAAAUUUAAAAUCUGGCAGUCUUUGGCUGUCCGAGUUGUAAUCUAGAGAAGUGCUAUCCGCGCUGGACCGUGUAUAAGUCUCCUGGAAUGGAGCGUCAUAGAGGGUGAGAAUCCCGUCUUUGACACGGACUGCCAGGGCUUUGUGAUGCGCUCUCAAAGAGUCGGGUUGUUUGGGAAUGCAGCUCAAAAUGGGUGGUAAAUUCCAUCUAAAGCUAAAUAUUGGCGAGAGACCGAUAGCGAACAAGUACCGUGAGGGAAAGAUGAAAAGAACUUUGGAAAGAGAGUUAAACAGUACGUGAAAUUGCUGAAAGGGAAACGCUUGAAGUCAGUCGCGUUGUCCAGGGAUCAACCUUGCUUUUGCUUGGUGCACUUUCUGGUUGACGGGUCAGCAUCAAUUUUGACUAUUGGAAAAAGAUUAGGGGAAUGUGACAUCUUCGGAUGUGUUAUAGCCCUUGGUUGCAUACAAUGGUUGGG
rnacentral:rRNA from 1 species